UUUUUUUUUUUCUUUCUAGCUCCAAUUGAAUUUGAUUCCAAUCUCGAUUUUGGUAUCGAAUUGGAUAUGAUCCUGGAAACAAUUUUUGAUGAAGGCCAACUUUUUAGUUGUGAUGAGCCAGCAACUACGUCACAGGCUGUAAUAGAUACAGAUUUGGUAGAGGUUGUGGUGGUCAGCGAAUCAGCCGCUGAGACUUCGUCGCGAUCUGUUGCCACACAGACAGAGGACGCGUCUUUUGAAUUGAACACGGGCGAGACAACAUCUCCGAGGUCUGGACACGCUGACGGGUCAACCACUGGAUAUGGUCUUGGCCAGAAUAAGAAAAUAUUUCAAAACCUGACAACGAUUCUGACGAAGAGAAAGAACAAAAUUACGAAUCCAAAGGAGCGGAUCUCUGGCAUGAGAAUGAAGAGAAUGUGAUAAAAGGAGCAUAUGAUGAAGAGUCUUGUGAUAUUGAAAAACACGUACCAUCAGAAAUUUUAGAUUUAUUUAGACCGAGAGAUCUAGCACAUUUGAACUAUGAAAUUAUGUGCCGGGCAAACCGUAACUUCGAACGGGUUUUACGAUUGAAUUCAGCGGCGCUGACCUUCGAAGAAACCACUGAUGCUGUGUGAACUGGUCAGGAUCUGGUUAUAAACAUUUUACAGAGUGUUGUCAACUCCCAACAUCAGAAUGCAGAAGUUCUAGCACAGAGCGCCUUAUUUUGGAGGAGCUGUCACGAGGAAAACCAGCAACGGUUUCAAGAUUUGUUUCAGUACAUUUUCGGUGUACCAGAAAAGGUAGAGGAACACAGAAACGAAUUACGGCUACUUGUUAACGCGGUCACCCUUGUAGGUGAGAGAUUAAAUGUUAUCCAACGUAUGAUAAGUGACACUUACAAAAUAACAAUAAUUAUACCAUUUGUA